rnacentral:rRNA from 1 species
AGAAUCAACGCUGGCGGCGUGCCUAACACAUGCAAGUCGAACGAGAAAGUGGUAGCAAUCCAUGAGUAAAGUGGUGCACGGGUGAGUAACACGUGACUAACCUACCCUUGAGUGGGGGAUAACCUAGAGAAAUCUGGGCUAAUACCGCAUAAUACCUACGGGCCAAAGGAGCAAUUCGCUUUAGGAGGGGGUCGCGGCCGAUUAGUUAGUUGGCGGGGUAAUGGCCCACCAAGACUGUGAUCGGUA